AUAUAGUUUUUCACGGCUCUGGGUGCAUGCCCUUUUAAGCCAGUCUUUGAAGUCCGUUGAACUUUUGUUUGAAUUUGACACAUGACAACUGUGUUUGACACUUCACUUCACUGAUUCACUGUGAUUCACUGAUAUUUUCUUAGUUCUUACUCUUCUCAAUUUCUCAAAUAGUUCCCAGAGUUGAAACCACGAAAGUAUAUAAGGGUUUGAAAAGUUUCGGAUCCUUGAGGAGUUCGUCCAACGACUGUGGUACACGUUCACAAAUAGAUUGAAGGUCAUCGAUCAUGACCAGUCUCUGGAUUCCAAAACUUCUACAUUUCAGGAUUAUGUGUUCCAUAUCGGCAAGCUCUUCAUUGCAAUAUGUACAUUCAGCGCUCGGAAUCAAGUUAAGCCUCUUCAGGUCUUGACUGAUUGCGGCUUGAUAGUCAGUGUGAGGUAUCUUCAACAACGUAGAAUGGUCAACAUCAAAGCCAUUCCUUGCAGCCAGAUCAACAAUUUCAUUCCCCCUGAUGCCACGGUGCGAUGGUACCCAAAGGAAGAGCAGUGUCUUACCAACUACCCCGGGUACUCCAAUAUCACAUAAGAUGGCUAUUAAAAUUGAGGGGACCACGUUAUCGAACGCGCCCUGUACAUCAAGGAAGACACAAGCUGUAGCAGAGUGACUGUCAAGAGAAUUCCUAAGGUCUGAGACCAAUGCUGUAAAACUUUCUGCUGCACUUCGGCCUUUCCUAAAUCCGAAUUGUUCAUUUGGAGGAGAUACAGGGGAAUAUUUCUCAAAAAAAGAGGGAAUCCAUUCAUCAUUCCUCGGCAGUUUAGGAAUUGAAACACGCUUAAACCUCUUCAUAUAGUUCCAUACUGUACUAACAGGAGUAUAUCGAUUAAAAGAUUCACAUAAAGAUUUCCAACCUGUUUUCUUUUUUUCCUUAAGAGUUAGUUUUUUAGCAGCAUCUAAUUUUUUAUACGCAAUGUAGUUGUCAAUGCUUGGAUUACGUCUAUAAAAAUUUAAAGCAUCUUUACUUUUUUUAACUGCACUAUUACACUCAUCAUCCCACCAAGGUACAGGCUUUUUCAUUAAAUUGGGAGAGGUUUUGACUACUUUAGGUACACAUUUGUCUCUAAUAUUAAUCAAAUGAUUAUAGAAAUCGUCAUAAAUUCUUAAUGGAUCUGUAUUAUCUAAAUUAAUAUUACCUACCAUGUUUUCUGUUUCAGACAAUGUUCGUUCUCCAUACAUUGUUCGCCUAAGAACCAACAAUUUUGACAUAUUACUACCCGAAAGCGAAAUAAUACGAUUCUGUGUGUAAGAACAAUGAUUCCUGAUGGACACUUGCCAUAAAAUUAAUGAUUAAGAAUAUUAAAUCACAGCGAUUUUAUAAUAUGUCGUUUAUGACAACAUGGCGUCUAAUGUAUUAAGUGAAUGUAUGAACACCGAUUCGCGAAAAAUGUUUUGU